rnacentral:lncRNA from 1 species
GUUUAAAAGGGGAGAAAAGUUUCAGUACUUGGUGUGCAGUGCCGGUGGAGAAGUUGACAGAUCAAGCCUACAAUAAGUAGCGGAACACCGACAAGGGCUUUUUACAUUCAAGCGCUGUAUAUUGAAACUAAUCUGGAAGGUUUUCGGGAACCAUCUUAAAGAUGAAAUUCUUUCCCGCUGUCUUCGUAUUAAUUUCAGUUGCUGUGUGUGUUGCUCAGUUGAAUUUGGAGGCAACUGAUGGAGAAAAUGUUACCAUAUCCUUCAAAACGGCUGGACUGGAGAGAGCCGAUCAAGUGAAGAUAACUUUGACAAGAGGAAGUCAGAAAAAUCUUAUUGCGCAGUACUGUCGCUGUGCCCAUUGUGGAGACUGUGAUGCCGUGGAAACACCGGGAGUCUUACUGAGAAUUGAAGAAGGAACCUUAACUCUUCUACGUGUCCGCUCCAAUAACUCAGGCCUCUAUGAAGUAAUAAUCAUUGGAAAUAACAUGUCUGAGAUGAAAGUUACGCUCGUUGUCAGCAAACCACCAUUUUCCUCCAGUAGAGAGCCAAGACAAACCUCCAUCUCAAAACCUCCCAACUUCUCUGAAAGACACAGGCUAUAUGUAUUACCUGCUCUAGUUGUAUUCAUCCUGGGGGUCUUAGGGGUUUAUUUGCUCUAUAUAUGGAAGAGGGCAAGUAUUCAUUUUUUAUUAUUUUUUGUUUUUUUAUAUUGACAGAAAUUAGUUGCUAAUGUUCUAAUGAUCUAAGGCCGUAUUCACCAAAAAAUGUUAAGGCUAAAAGUUGCUCCUAAUGCAGAAACUUAAGUUUUGACGAUUCUAUAUAUUAUAAAAUAAGAAAUGCACAGAGUUAAGUUCAGUUCCAAAUUAUUUCUCUGGCUAGGAGAAAUACUUUAGAACCAAGCA